rnacentral:lncRNA from 1 species
GAGCACAUGGGCCCGCGGGCCGGGCGGGCUCGGGGCGGCCGGGACGAGGAGGGGCGACGACGAGCUGCGAGCAAAGAUGUGCCCCGGGACCCCCGGCACCUUCCAGUGGAUUUCCUUGCGGAAAGGAUGUUGGCGGUCCCUGUGACCUGUGGAGACACGGCCAGAUCUGCCCUCCACUGACCAUACUCCCUGGAGCCUUCUCCCGAGGUGCGCGGGUGACCUUGGCACAUACAGCCAUCAUGAUGGUACUUUAAGUGGAGGCUGAAUCAUCUCCCCUUUGAGCUGCUUGGCACGUGGCUCCCUUGGUGUUCCCCUUUUACUGCCAGGACACUGAGAUUUGGAGAGAAUCCUGUUACACCUGGGAUUUAGGCACUUUCAAUCUGAAAAAAUACAUAUCCUUUCAGCACUCUGGACGGACUUGAGAACUGUCCUUACGUGACCUAAAGCUGGAGUAUUUUGAGAUUGGAGAAUUAAGAGCCAGUCUUGGUGCUCUGUGUUCACCUGGUUCAUCUGAGGAGCUGCAUCUACCCUGCCCAUGCCAUAGAUCCUGCCCUGUUUGCUUCUCCUGUUGCUGCUAGUGGACAUGAGAAGGACAGAAUAACGGGCUCCCAGAUUCACAAGCCCCACCAAGAGGAUCACCCCAGGAACGCUUGGAGGCUGAGGAGUUCACUGAGGCUACUGCAUCUUGAGACUCAGGAUGAAGACCCAGCUUGGGGCUGUCAAAGAGGCCUGAAGAGGCAGAACACCCCAGAGGAGCCUGGGGCCACCACCCAGCAUCACUGUGGGAAAACGGCAGCAGGAAAUGUCCUCUCGCCUGCGUGCUCCACCUCGGUCCACGCCUUCCCUCCUUCUGGAAGCCUUGCCUGACCACUGGCCUGCCCCUUCUAUGGGAAUCACUACUGACCUUGCAGCUUAUUAUAGACUUAUAUGUUUUUUGCAUGUCUGACACCCAUGACUCCACCUGGACCUUAUGGCUCCACCCAGAAGCAAUUCAGCCCAACAGGAGGACAGCUUCAACCCAUUACGAUUUCAUCUCUGCCCCAACCACUCAGCAGCAAGCACCUGUUACCUGUCCACCCCCACCCCUUCCCCCAAACUGCCUUUGAAAAAUCCCUAACCUAUGAGCUUUGAAUAAGAUGAGUACGAACUUCAUCGCCCACGUGGCGUGGCCGGCCUCGUGUCUAUUAAAUUCUUUUUCUACUACAA